rnacentral:rRNA from 1 species
ACGAAGGGUGCAAGCGUUACUCGGAAUUACUGGGCGUAAAGCGUGCGUAGGUGGUUCGUUAAGUCUGAUGUGAAAGCCCUGGGCUCAACCUGGGAAUGGCAUUGGAUACUGGCGACCUAGAGUGCGGUAGAGGGUGGCGGAAUUCCCGGUGUAGCAGUGAAAUGCGUAGAUAUCGGCAGGAACACCCGUGGCGAAGGCGGCUGGCUGGAUCGCAACUGACGCUGAGGAACGAAAGCUAGGGGAGCAAACAGGA